rnacentral:rRNA from 1 species
GAUGAACGCUAGCGGCAGGCUUAACACAUGCAAGUCGAGGGGUAUAGGUUUUCGGACCUAGAGACCGGCGCACGGGUGCGUAACGCGUAUGCAAUCUACCUUUUCACAGAGGGAUAGCCCAGAGAAAUUUGGAUUAAUACCUCAUAGUAUUAUAGAAUGGCAUCAUUUUAUAAUUAAAGUCACAACGGUGAAAGAUGAGCAUGCGUCCCAUUAGCUAGUUGGUAUGGUAACGGCAUACCAAGGCAACGAUGGGUAGGGGUCCUGAGAGGGAGAUUCCCCCACACUGGUACUGAGACACGGACCAGACUCCUACGGGAGGCAGCAGUGAGGAAUAUUGGUCAAUGGGCGCAAGCCUGAACCAGCCAUGCCGCGUGCAGGAUGACGGUCCUAUGGAUUGUAAACUGCUUUUCCAGGGAGAGAAACUUACGCACGUGUUGCGUGACUGACGGUACCCUGGAAUAAGCAUCGGCUAACUCCGUGCCAGCAGCCG